ensembl:lncRNA
AUGGGUGAUGGGUUACUAUCUUUUAUUUUGUCCUAUCGUCUUUCCACAGACGGGAGGAGGUUGUUGACAGAUGGAUGUCAAGGUUCUGUUCGUAACCUCGGGCCGUGGAUGCUGCUGACGCUGCCUUAUACCAGCUGCCACUUGGCAUUAUGGGUUUCAAAUGGAACCUGGUUUCGUCAGCUGAGACUUCGUUACUUUGACCAUCUGCUGCAGGCAAACGUAACUGGUCUGGCCACCUGUGAGAAUCCUGCAACAUCCCUGCAACUGAUGCCACCGUUGGUGACUUGCAGAACAACAGAUGUCACUGUGAAACUGCCUCUUGGAACGUCGGGCGCCCGUGGUGGUGGUCGCCGUGGGGGGGUCGUCGUCGGGGCAUCAGACGUGUCAGCCAGUGGUGGGGGCGCCCGUGGUGGUGGUCGUCGUCGUGGCGCCCGUGGUGCUGCUGGUGGUGGUCGUCGUCGCCGGGGCGCCCGUGGUGCUGCUGGUGGUCGUCGUCGGGGGCGCAAGUGGUGGUGGUGGUCGUCGUCGCGCAAGUGGUGGUGGUGCUGGUACUGGUGGUAGUCGUCGGGGCACCAGGGGUGUCGAUUCCGGUAUACGGCCCUUCAGAAAUUUCAUCAAAUCCCCACAACUCAAAGAUUUCUGUGUCAGCAUCAGUCACUUCGUCAUUCCGGAACCCACUGGGCUCCGUCGGUUCCUGGAUGACGGGCUCCACUAGAACUUGCUCAAAGUCCCAAAGCUCCCACAGGUUGGGGUUUUGGAGAGCUCUUGGGUGUCGAUCCCGCCUAGUUUGUGUUGCUGCAGUGGAACAAGCUGCCAGCAUCGUGGAUGUUUUCCCAGCAGAGUCUAAAUAAAUCACUUCAAAGAUUGAAUCCCAGGGCACCCGGGGCACCCAGCGCACCCGGGGCACCCGGGACACCCGGGACACGGACGCCCCCGGCGCCUACAACGGGCGCCCUGCUGACUACCACCACCAUGGGUGGCCCCCAGCGCCCCAGGCGUCCCGAUGACGACCACCACCACGGGCGCCCCACCACUGCCUGACACGUCUGACCCACCCAUUCACCCCCUCACGUGUGUGUGUGUGUGUGUGUGUGUGUGUGUGAUAAUAAACCAAAGCAUUACUAAAUCCGUCUAUUCCCUUUUUUCCUAACUUGUAAAGAUUUGUUUGACUUGAGACUAUUGAGAUGCGCCUGUAGAUUUAAAUUAGAAUAUCAUGGUAAAGUUCAUUUCUUUCAGUAGUCAAAUUCAAAAAGGGAAACUCGUAUAGAUUCAUUACACACAGUGAAACAUUUCAGGCCUUUAUUUCUUUUAAUUUUGACUAUGGCUUACAGCUAACAAACCCAAAAUUCAGUAUCUCAGAAAAUUUUAAUAUUAGUACUAGUUCAAUAUUGUUGACUCACAAUGUUACACUCUAAUCAGUUAAUUAAGUCAACACCUGCAAAGGUUUCCUGAGCCUUUAAAUGGUCUGGUUCAGUAGGUUACACAAUCAUGGGGAAGACUGCUGGCUUGACGGUUGUCCAGAAGACAGUCAUUGCCACCCACAAGGAGGGAAAGCCACAGAAGGUCAUUGCUAAAGAAGCUUGCUGUUCAGAGUGCUGUAUCCAAGCAUAUUCAUAGAAAGUUGAGUGGCAGGAAAAAGUGUGGUAGAAAAAGGUACACAAGCAGCAGGGAUAACCGCAGCCUUGAGAGGAUUGUGAAGCAACGACCAUUCAAUAAUUUGGGUGAGAUUCACAAGGAGUAGACUGAGGCUGAGUCAGUGCAUCAACAGCCACCACACACAGAUGUAUCCAGGACAUGGGCUACAACUGUCAGAAGCGUCUUACCUGGGCUAAGGAGAAAAAGGACUGGACUGUUGCUCAGUGGUCCAAAGUCCCCUUUUCAGAUGAAAGUGAAGUUUGCAUUUCAUUUGGGAAUCGAGGUCUUCCUCCAAAGUCUGGAGGAAGAGUGGAAAGGCACAGAAUCCAAGUUGCUUUUAGUCCAGUGUGAAGUUUCCACAGUCAGUGAUGAUUUGGGGAUCUGCUGGUGUUGGUCCCCUGUGUUUUAUCAAGUCCAAAGUCAACGCAGCCAAAUGUCUACCAGGACAUUUUGGAGCACUUCAUGCUUCCUUCUGCUGACAGGCUUUAUGGAGAUGCUGAUUUCAUUUCCCAGCAGGACUUGGCACCUGCCCACUCUGCCAAAGGUACCAAUACCUGGUUUAAUGACCAUGGUUUUACUGUGCUUGAUUGGCCAGCAAUCUCACCUGACCUGAACCCCAUAGAGCAUCUAUGGGCUAUUGUCAAGAGGAAGGUGAGAGACACCAGACCCAACAAUGCAGACGAACUGAAGGCCGCUAUCAAAGCAACCUGGACUUCCAUAACACCUCGGCAGUGCCACAGGCUGAUUGCCUCCAUGCCACGCUGCAUUGAUGCAAUAAUUCAUGGAAGAUUAGCCCCGACCAAGUAUUGAGUGCAUAUAUGAACAUACUUUUGAAUAAGCAGACAUUUCUGUGUUAAAAUGUAUUGGUCUUAUGAAAUAUUCUAAUUUUCUAAGAUACUGAAUUUUGGGUUUGUUAGCUGUAAGCCACAAUCAUAAAACUUGAAAGAAAUAAAGACUUGAAAUAUUUCACUGUGUGUAAUGAAUCUAUAUAAUGAGUUUCACUUUUUGAAUUGAAUUUCUGAAAUAAAUGAACUUUGUCAUGAUAUUCUAAUUUAUUGAAAUGCACCUGUACAUUCAUUAAUUUCUGAUAAUUAAUCAGACAUAUUGUGACAGAAACUUUUAUUUUAUUGUGUAAUCUGCUAUAGUGAUUUAACUCCUAGCUUUAAACUGGAAACUGGAACCCAUGUUUUAGGACGUCUAUCAGUAGAAAACGGCAUCAACAGGAUUCUCUUAUUGUAAGGUAGAAAAUGUCCAUAAUGGGCUUUUAAAAAGAACUUGAACAACAUAAAACCAACUGAAUAAGUUUGAUAUUCAGUAUCUUUUGAUGGUGAAGCAUUUUUAAACCUUCCUGUCCAAUGAGAGCGCUCCAAACUAAUCUCUGCCUAAAGGAAUAUAAACAGUUCCCACAACAUCAGGGGUUGCUCCUCUGUUUAAAGUGGAUAAACAAAGUUAUAAUGCAUUGAAAUACAACUGUGUGCUUCAGAGUUGUAUCUGAACGUCAGUGAAUAAUGGUCGAGUAAGGUCCGAUCACAGACUCAAACUGCCUAGCUUAGCAAUUCAGACUAAUCUUUAGCUAAAUGACAUUAUAUAGAACAACCUUCCUCCUCCCAUGUGCUCCGCUACAUCAGGCGGAUAGAAGUGAUGGAUGCCUCCUGAAAGAUUAAGAUUUAAUAGGAGCCAUUAAUUAAUAAUUGUAUUAUAUUAGGUUAGUGAUGGUUCAUAUUUCUUGGUGAAUGUGAUGAGUUGGUGUUUCUGAUAUAUUUUCAUUAUUUUGUCUGUGUGACUGAAUGCUGAGUCACAUGGAUGUGAGCGGAGCCACUGAGCACCUGUCCACCUGUGAGUGUGAUGAGUUUAUUCACUGUGAAUAAUUAUGAGUUCACGCUCCUUACUCUAGUUUGUAUCUUAUAAAAUUAUUAAAUGCAUUAUUUCCUAUCUAAGAUCACAAAUCUACGUUCUGAUCUGUGACUUCAGGUUUCACCCACGACCAGGACACAUUGUGUUACUUUGUUUUUAAAUGUUUGUCUCCUUCAGUUGAAAAUGACCAAAGACAAGCAAUCGUGACGUUGUGCCAGCCUAUUUCCUGCCUAGCAACGAGGAGCCAAUCGUGACUAGUGAGAGGAAUCAACCAAUCAGGAGCAGCAGCUCUCUGGUUGUCCUGUUUUCGUGUUGCUUCGAGCUAAUUUUAAUUAAAUUAAACUAACAUGAACUUUUAGUGGGUUUAUCUGGAUGUCUUAAGGGUCUGAACCACUGACGGUGUAGUAUAUAGUGCCGUGCACUUAUACUGUCACGAUGAUGUUAGUGAAGUGUAGGCGGAGGGAUACUAGGUUGUGAUGUGUCUAGUUCCCGGGCUACCGGAGUGAGUGUAAUGCAGGCAACGUGUGGGCAAUAAAGCGACACUGUUGGAGUUAAAGACAAGCCUACGGAUGUCCAUUAUGUAUGUCGAGUCACCCGGCCAUGAAGAACUAUAACAUGGUGUCAGAAGUUGGUCCAGUUCGUCAGUUUGCCGAAGUCGAAAAACACCAGAGUUUUGCUAGCUAAAAGUUGUGCUAGUGGUAGCGUCCCUAAAAAAAGUAGACGCACGGAGACCUGCAACGACAGGAGACGGUAUGAUGGAGCAGUUCAAACUACCAUCGCCACUGGUGUUGACAGGCAACUUGGGAGAAAACUGGAGAAGAUGGGAACAGCGCUUCCAAAUCUACAUGACCGCGAGUGGUGCAGAGGGUAAGGAUGAAAAGAUCAAAGUUUCCAUCUUACUGCACGCACUAGGAGAGGAGGCUCUCAAGUGUAUAACACACUUAACCUUCCAGAAGAAAAGACUGUGAAAGAUGUUCUCACAGCUUUUGAAGCAUAUUGUCUGCCCAAGAAGAAUACAGUGUUUGAAAGGC